CGAAGAGUUCCUAACCUAACACAGGAGUGAGAAGACAGCAUAAAAGUUCACGUGACUGGCUCACUAAGGACACAAUGCAUAUUUCAGCGAUAACUCCCAGUGUCCAGUUUCCUCCCGCUGGCCUAAAACAACAGAGCUCUUCAUUUUGGGAUUAGAGCUUCUCUCUGGAAUUAUGGCACAUUUCUGAGACCUGUAAUUCAUGUUCACUAAAGGAGAAAUUCUCCUCUCGUGAUGGGAGCCUGGGGAGUACAUCUCAGUGAGACAACAUACACUGAUUUUAAUCAUGAUGCUCCUGCCAUGAAGUUUUUGUGGGUGUACUGGGGAGAUAUUGAAAUUCCUCCUAGGUACUACUAUGACUUUACUUGUGAGAACUGCCAUGAAGAGAUUGUUGGGGCUCCUCUUGGUUGGUUUUAUCACAUAGACCCUGACUUCUGCUAUCUGUAAACUUUUCUUCUGGUACCUGCAGUGCUGCAAAUCCCCUCUGGACAGUCAUCCUUUGCCCUCUGCUUGCCUGUGUGGCUUAAGUGGUGCUGGCCCCAGGGGUGAGGGUAGGUCCUACACCUAAGUCAGCCAACUCUUCAUAGCCCCUCAGCCACGAAGGUUGCUUCAAGGACAGCAUGUGAUACUAAACGAGUCAAUGAACUCUAUGAGACCUUUCAUGGAGCCCCUGGGACACACACAGAUGCUCUCCUUCUGAAGACUGACUUUGUGAAGAGAGGAGGGAGAACUACUGUGGAUGUCUUGCAGCCACUUGGAGGCUGAAUCCAAAGCCAACACCAAGGGUGCAGUGCUGGGGAAUGAAAAGUGAGAAAGUGGUCCCAAUGACGUUGUUUGAAACCCGAAUCAAGCAAUGUGAGCUGGCCUUCUUUUUUCUAUUAGCCCAUAAAACAUCUUUUCUUGCUUAAGGUUGUUUGAAUGGGAUGUUUGAUCACUUGCUACCAGAAUCCUAUCUGAUAUACUCAGUAUGGUAGUCAAGAAAUAGCAUGAAGGACUCAUCUACUCCGAAAAUGCGUAUCAGUAGAUUUUAAUAGACAAAAAUAGAAUUGGUAAAUUCAAAAAAAAUAAGUCAUGAAAAAGUAGAAAAUACUUUUAAAUAAAGGACUUCUAAGUACUAAGGUCACUUAAAAUCACAACAAAGCAUCAACUUUUAUUUAUGUCAUUUAAUUACUCGUAUCCACAGGCCAUUCCAGGUCAUUUUCAUGAUUUGACCCUUUCUA
rnacentral:lncRNA from 1 species